rnacentral:tRNA from 1 species
GCCCAGGUAGCUCAGUGGUAGAGCACUUGCAUGGUAAGCAAGGGGUCGUAGGUUCAAUUCCUAUCUUGGGCAACA